UGGGUGACCAACUGAGCCAUCCAGGCACCUUGUGUAAAUUCCCUUAAGUUUUCUAUCAGGACUUAAUAUUAAGCAUAACUACAAAAAAGGUUCCAUAGUUUGAAGGAGUGAAAAGUGAAUCUGACUUGUCAUUAAGGAAGAAGUGAGUAUUCUUAGAAGGUGUGUGGCUGCUUCUCAAGCUGAGUGUGGACCUGCAAGGGCUGACUGAGCCUGAGGCACCCUCACCCACUUCUGCAUCUUAUCCAACCAACUUUUGUUUGAUUGCUUGCCUUGCCAUGGAAGACAGGAUUCUUUGCAGGACAGCUAAGGGGCACAUAGAAUCCUAAACAACAGGGAGAGGACUUUGAAUAAUCCAAUUCAUACCAUUUUCCUUUCUGUAAACAACUACAAUCUCCAUGAAAUCUUGGAGGAUAAUAUGAGGAUGAAAGAAAAAGACAACUGUGACUGUUUUGUUGUUCAUCUGAUAGCUCUAUAUGCCUUCUGAAAAAUUAAAUGUUGAUAAUCGUGGAAAAUAUAGCUUCCAAAUAAGUAAUUCAAAUCACUCACUGAGAAUCUCACAUAAUUCUUUGUUUUGUAAGUCAUUCAUAUAGAAUGUGCCACAUACUGGAACCCAGAGACGUCCUCCAACAAUGUAAAAUGACAAUCUGCUAUGCAACCCCCAUUUUUAAAAAAAAU